UACGUAGGAGGCAAGCGUUGUCCGGAAUUACUGGGCGUAAAGCGCGUGUAGGUGGUGGGACAAGUCUGCUGUGAAAGCGCCUGGCUUAACCGGGCGAGGUCGGCGGAAACUGUUCGACUCGAGGACGGUAGAGGGGGGUGGAAUUCCCGGUGUAGUGGUGAAAUGCGUAGAGAUCGGGAGGAACACCUGUGGCGAAGGCGGCCCCCUGGGCCGGCCCCGUGACACUGGAGACGCGGAAGGCGUGGGGGAGCGAACGGG
rnacentral:rRNA from 1 species